GUGAAUCAUCGAAUUUUUGAACGCAAAUUGCACUCUCUUCUUAUAGUAUGCCUGUUUCAGGUUCAGCCUAAAAUAAAUCGACAUCGUUGCUUUUACUCGGUAACAUUCGUCGGACAUUGGGUCACCUUAAACCUUUGGGUUUAAGCGGCUUAAAAUUUUCUUUACGAUUCCAAGAACGUUUCUAAGAUUUUAUUUUCUUAUACGUUUAAGGUAUCGAUCUUUAUUAGACGUGUCCGUUUCAUCGGAGCUCGUCCAUACAUAUUCUGUUAA
rnacentral:misc_RNA from 1 species